AGGUAAUUGUCUCCAGGCUGGUUACUGAACUUCCUCAAGAAACAGGUUUUAAGUUUGACUUCAGUCAUGAGCCACCUGCCCCCAGAGUCUGUGAUGGGAGAGUCAUCCAGAAGCCCCAUGCUGAGCAGGAGAAGACGAGGUACUCUUCAUGUGCCAUAUUUUAGAAGUCUUUAAAAGGAGAAGAAUGAGCAUUGUGAGGAUUGAAACAGGACUCAGACCUGAGUAUUUCAGGUACUGUGAAGAAUUCCUUCAAGCCCGAUGACACUGUCCUGAAGGAAAAAUACUUUUACACCAAUAACUUGGUUUACAGAGAACUGUUUGGAAAUGCCAAAAAGAAGUACUCACCAGAGCUGGCAGCUCGAAACUGGGUGGAGGACUAUGUCAAUGGAGGGAAUGAGAAAAAGGAGGUGGAAACUUGCAAGGAAUCGUAUAAUGAGAUAAAUCUGAAACAUAAAAUUAUUUAAAUUGACAAUAAUCUUCUCCUGUGUGAAACCCAAACCUUAAUACUGCUUCUGAGGAUCUGCUGGAUUAAUUUUCUCUAUCUGCAUGAGCAGAGGCACGGGCCUGUACACAGAAAAAGUCGCUGGGCUGGUGGGUUGGGUGGCUCAAGGGGCCAAGCAGCACCUCAAGAGCUUUUCACCUGAGUACAUGACCCAUGCUCCACGGAGGCCGUCACUGCCGGCAGGCUGGUAGGAGCCCUGGUAUGGGCUCAGUCCCUCACACCUGGGCAAGUCCCUAGCGCAUCACUAAGAUCAAACGAUCUCCUUUGCAGUCAAAAUCAG